rnacentral:rRNA from 1 species
AUGCCCAUCUUUUCAAAUAUCAGAGCCUUAAUGGCUAACAGUUUGACUGGAGUCGACCUAGUCCGAUGCUGGGUCGCCUCGAGAAUUUUGCCCUUAAGACGUCGCUCCAGUUUAAUGUGUGAGUAUACUGGCAAUGUCAAAGACCCUCAACGCCACUGUCAGAUAGAACUGAAUUAUGAAGAUAUCAAUGAUAUGACCAAGACUCUGCUGAACAAGAGCUUGGAAGAUUGCAGAAAGACCAGCUUAAAUCCUUUUUGUACCCUUAACAAACCUCUAGCUGCCGAUUCUCCUUUCUGGAACAAGAAGUUGCAAGAUAAACCGGCCAAGAAGACCCGGACAAAGAAUAAGGCUCCUAAAAAGCCGGCCAAGAAGAAGACCAACCCCUCCGAGUUAUUUAACUUGGAUGAUGAUGAGUCGGAGGAUGACGCGGAAGGCAGCCACGCAGACGGUGAAGAGGUAACUAUCCUUUCCUCCGACUCAGAACCUCUGCCAAGACAGAAAGUUCGUCAAGCGAGCGGAAAGUAA